rnacentral:rRNA from 1 species
AAACUAGAUACAAGCGAGCGGCGGACGGGUGAGUAACACGUGGGUAACCUGCCCAAGAGACUGGGAUAACACCUGGAAACAGAUGCUAAUACCGGAUAACAACACUAGACGCAUGUCUAGAGUUUGAAAGAUGGUUCUGCUAUCACUCUUGGAUGGACCUGCGGUGCAUUAGCUAGUUGGUAAGGUAACGGCUUACCAAGGCAAUGAUGCAUAGCCGAGUUGAGAGACUGAUCGGCCACAUUGGGACUGAGACACGGCCCAAACUCCUACGGGAGGCAGCAGUAGGGAAUCUUCCACAAUGGACGAAAGUCUGAUGGAGCAACGCCGCGUGAGUGAAGAAGGGUUUCGGCUCGUAAAGCUCUGUUGGUAGUGAAGAAAGAUAGAGGUAGUAACUGGCCUUUAUUUGACGGUAAUUACUUAGAAAGUCACGGCUAACUACGUGCCAGCAGCCGCGGUAAUACGUAGGUGGCAAGCGUUGUCCGGAUUUAUUGGGCGUAAAGCGAGUGCAGGCGGUUCAAUAAGUCUGAUGUGAAAGCCUUCGGCUCAACCGGAGAAUUGCAUCAGAAACUGUUGAACUUGAGUGCAGAAGAGGAGAGUGGAACUCCAUGUGUAGCGGUGGAAUGCGUAGAUAUAUGGAAGAACACCAGUGGCGAAGGCGGCUCUCUGGUCUGCAACUGACGCUGAGGCUCGAAAGCAUGGGUAGCGAACAGGAUUAGAUACCCUGGUAGUCCAUGCCGUAAACGAUGAGUGCUAAGUGUUGGGAGGUUUCCGCCUCUCAGUGCUGCAGCUAACGCAUUAAGCACUCCGCCUGGGGAGUACGACCGCAAGGUUGAAACUCAAAGGAAUUGACGGGGGCCCGCACAAGCGGUGGAGCAUGUGGUUUAAUUCGAAGCAACGCGAAGAACCUUACCAGGUCUUGACAUCCAGUGCAAACCUAAGAGAUUAGGUGUUCCCUUCGGGGACGCUGAGACAGGUGGUGCAUGGCUGUCGUCAGCUCGUGUCGUGAGAUGUUGGGUUAAGUCCCGCAACGAGCGCAACCCUUGUCAUUAGUUGCCAUCAUUAAGUUGGGCACUCUAAUGAGACUGCCGGUGACAAACCGGAGGAAGGUGGGGAUGACGUCAAGUCAUCAUGCCCCUUAUGACCUGGGCUACACACGUGCUACAAUGGACGGUACAACGAGAAGCGAACCUGCGAAGGCAAGCGGAUCUCUUAAAGCCGUUCUCAGUUCGGACUGUAGGCUGCAACUCGCCUACACGAAGCUGGAAUCGCUAGUAAUCGCGGAUCAGCACGCCGCGGUGAAUACGU